rnacentral:rRNA from 1 species
GAUGAACGCUGGCGGCGUGCCUAAUACAUGCAAGUCGAGCGAACAGAUGAGGAGCUUGCUCCUCUGACGUUAGCGGCGGACGGGUGAGUAACACGUGGAUAACCUACCUAUAAGACUGGGAUAACUUCGGGAAACCGGAGCUAAUACCGGAUAAUAUAUUGAACCGCAUGGUUCAAUAGUGAAAGACGGUUUUGCUGUCACUUAUAGAUGGAUCCGCGCCGCAUUAGCUAGUUGGUAAGGUAACGGCUUACCAAGGCAACGAUGCGUAGCCGACCUGAGAGGGUGAUCGGCCACACUGGAACUGAGACACGGUCCAGGCUCCUACGAGAGGCAGCAGUAGGGAAUCUUCCGCAAUGGGCGAAAGCCUGACGGAGCAACGCCGCGUGAGUGAUGAAGGUCUUCGGAUCGUAAAACUCUGUUAUUAGGGAAGAACAAAUGUGUAAGUAACUAUGCACGUCUUGACGGUACCUAAUCAGAAAGCCACGGCUAACUACGUG